rnacentral:rRNA from 1 species
GACGAACGCUGGCGGCGUGCUUAACACAUGCAAGUCGAACGAGUGGCGAACGGGUGAGUAAUACGUGGGUAACCUUCCCUCCCUUCGGGAUAAGCCUUGGAAACGGGGUCUAAUACAGAAUACAGGGGGAUGGGCUCGGGGCCUAUCGGCGUGUUGGUGGGGUGCUGGUGUACCAAGGCGGUGACGGCUAGCCGGCCUGAGAGGGUGACCGGCGACAUUGGGACUGAGAUACGGCCCAGAGUCCGACGGGAGGCAGCAGUGUGGGAUAUUGCACAAUGGGCGAAAGGCGGAUGCAGCGACGCCGCGUGGGGGAUGAAGGCUUUGGGGUUGUAAUCCUCUUUCGCUAUCGAAGGGUAGGUGGAGAAGAAGCGCCGGCUAACUACGUGCCAGCAGCCGCGGUAAUUC